AUUGAACGCUGGCGGCAGGCUUAACACAUGCAAGUCGAGCGGAGAUGAGGUGCUUGCACCUUAUCUUAGCGGCGGACGGGUGAGUAAUGCUUAGGAAUCUGCCUAUUAGUGGGGGACCACAUUCCGAAAGGAAUGCUAAUACCGCAUACGUCCUACGGGAGAAAGCAGGGGAUCUUCGGACCUUGCGCUAAUAGAUGAGCCUCAGUCGGAUUAGCUGGUUGGGGGGGUAAAGGCCUACCAAGGCGACGAUCUGUAGCGGGUCUGAGAGGAUGAUCCGCCACACUGGGACUGAGACACGGCCCAGACUCCUACGGGAGGCAGCAGUGGGGAAUAUUGGACAAUGGGGGGAACCCUGAUCCAGCCAUGCCGCGUGUGUGAAGAAGGCCUUAUGGUUGUAAAGCACUUUAAGCGAGGAGGAGGCUACUGAGACUAAUACUCUUGGAUAGUGGACGUUACUCGCAGAAUAAGCACCGGCUAACUCUGUGCCAGCCGCCGCGGUAA
rnacentral:rRNA from 1 species